GUUUGAACAGUUCUAUUCUACUUUAUUCUUUCAGCUUUGAUAGAUCAGUCACCCUCCAUCAGGAACAGGUGGAUUGAGUCCAAUCUUUUACUGGUCCCAGGUGAACUUGAUAAACAUAUGGUCCAUUGUGAAGGGAUCUUGUUUUGCGAUAUCUGAUUGUGUUUGUAAUGGCUUCUUCACCUAGCUGUUUGCCUGUUCCAGUGGCCAUUACAAAGAAUUAUGCUGAGUGUCAUUUUUGGUUUUUGGAGUUGACAGAAGCCAUGGCUCAAAAUUUCAAGCUCCUGUGGCAAUGCAGAAUUACUGAAUGGCAGAUUAUAGAAUGCAUGUGAGUGCUUGGUCCCAGCCUUUGGGACAUGUGGAAUUCAAUGGGGUAGGCGUAAG